CUUGACCAGUCACCUGACCAACCACCUGACCAACCACCUGACCAACCACUGGACCAAUCACCUGACCAACCACCUGACCAAUCACCUGACCAACCACCUGACCAACCACUUGACCAGUCACCUGACCAACCACCUGUAAGAGAAAGCAGGGAUAGACAACUCCAGAGCUCGAUGAGUCUGUCUCAUUGAUGAUUCUCCCUGUCGUGUAAUGGAUACAUUUUACGUCAAUGACUGGUGAGAUUUUAGAAAGUCCACACCGGAACACCAAAUAGCUCAAGUUUAAAGACUAAAGCCACGUUUUUCUGAAGACAUGGAUUUUUACCCCAAUGUCCUGGUUUUGAUGUUCUCUCUUUUUUUCUUGUUCUAUCUUUCCAAUAAAUAUUUUCACUUGAUUUGUACUGGUACUGCUAACGGAGCAGGUAAAACCUUUUGAAGUGACUUCUACUGGUACUGCUAGCAGAGUAGAUAAAACCUUUUCAACUGAUUUCUACUGGUACUGCUAGCAGAGUAGAUAAAACCUUUUCAACUGAUUUCUACUGGUACUGCUAGCAGAGCAGAUGAAACCUUUUCAACUGAUUUCUACUGGUACUGCUAGCAGAGCAGAUAAAACCCUUUCAACUGAUUUCUAAUUAGUACAACCAAUUUAAUCUAGUUGAUUUUGAUGUAUAGAUGUAUUGAACAUACAGUACAUGCAUUAGAUUCCUGCAAUGCCACAUGUACAUUGUGAUUGACAUGGAGAAUUGAGUCACACAAACACUGGAUGAAUCUUAGAUUGACAUUGAAGCUAAAUAAGAGUACUUCUCAAGGUGUUUUUUCCCAUGAACAAAACAUCUUCUAACAUGCUUAAACUGUCAUCAUCAAGUCUUAAAUAACGAAUGAGUUUCUGUAUCAAACCUUUUCACUUGUCUCCAUAGCGAUGUUAUUUUCUCUUGUUGUUUUUCAUCAAAAGGAACCAGCAAUAUUUCAGUUUGAGAAAUCUAUAAAGCCUUGAGCUGUAGCUGUCCCUAUGUGGGCUUAAUUUUUUAUUCCAUAUUAUUUUGAGUUUAUUUUCUAGGGUAGAACAUGUCUCUUCAGAUGUAACGAAUAGCAUUCCUUUCCAACGCCAACCCUUUGUAGUACAGACAGUGACUGGAACAUUCAAUGAAAUGAAUGACAUGAUAAGUGCAAUUGUACAGUUUGCAAAUAUAUAGUAUAAAAUAACUUUGGAUUAACUGAGUUUAUAUGAUCCUCAUGUUCUGUUUAUAUUCUAUCAUGAUACUCUUCUAAAACAGUGUUACUCAACCUCAGAUUCCUGGACCGGGCCCGGUCCGUGGGAUACUGCUUUAUGGUACCCUGAGAUGUUCGAGUGCUAGUUUUGAUGGAAGCGGCACCCCAGGAGGAUAAAAACAUAGUUUGCCAGUCCUAGCCUGGUCUCAGAUAUCUUUCUGCUUCAACCAACACCAUCUCACAAAACAAUGAGUGACAAGGACUUGUUGGCAUUUUAGCAAAAACAGACUGGAACACAGUCCCUGUUAAAAAACAGAUUGAGAAACACUCAUCUAAAAAAGGGCCAUCGGUAGUAGAUGGUCAGUCCAAAAUGUCAGCUUAUGUCCUAUAUAGUGCACUGCUUUUUACCAGAGCACUAUGGGCCCUGGUUAAAAGUAGUGCACUAUAAAGGGAAUAGGGUGCCAUUGGGCCCUGGUUAAAAGUAGUGCACUAUAAAGGGAAUAGGGUGCCAUAGGGCCCUGGUUAAAAGUAGUGCACUAUAUAGGGAAUAGGGUGCCAUUUAGGACACAACCCCGAAGAGAGUCUGAAGUGACUAAUUGAGGGAGAAAGGGUUCUGUGUGAUUAGUUCUGCUACAAAAAAACCUCAAUGGAUCAAUCCUAUUGACUCUACAGAGACGCUGCAGAUCAAUGCCCAGACUGCUCCAUUUACGACACACUGAGUGGUAUAAUUAAGCAGUAAGGCAUGAGGUUUGGCGAUGUGCGGCCAAUAUACCACGGCUAAAGGCUGUUCUUAUUCACGACGCAACGCGGCGUGCCUGGAUACAGCCCUUAGCUGUUGUAUAUUGACCAUAUAUCACAAACCCCUGAGGUGCCUUAUUGCUAUUAUAAACUGGUUACCAAUGUAAUUAGAACAGUUAAAAUAAAUGUUUUGUCAUACCUGUGGUAUACAGUCUGAUAUACCAUGGCUUUUAGCCUAUCAGCAUUUAGGGCUCGAACCACCCGGUUUAUAAUUAAUAAUGAACCUCUGAUAAAUUAGAAAUUAAUAUAGGCCUAAUGAAAGUCUUUUGCUUAGUAGAUAAUGUCAGAUUUAAUUUAUAACCCUUAUAUAAAGGUAUUUUAUUCAAAUGUUCAAACCACAAGGUUUACAAAGAUCUAAAUGAUGUAGUUUGUAGUUUUUUUUUUUUUUUCAAUUGUUAUUUUUUUCCCUGAUGAUGGUCACGGACAGGUUUACACUGAGUGUACAAAACAUUAGGAACAACUUCCUAAUAUUGAGUUGCACCCCUUUUCUCCUCAGAACAGCCUCAAAUCAUCGGUGUCAGGGACUCUACAAGGUGUUGAAAGCGUUCCACAGGGAUGCUGGCCCCAUGGUGACUCCAAUGGUUCCCACAGUUGUGUCAAUUUGGCUGGAUGUUCUUUGGGUGGUGGACCAUUCUUGAUACACACAGGACACUGUUGAGCCUGAAAAACUCAGCAGCGUUGCUGUUCUUGACACACUCAAACCGGUGUGCCUGGCACCUACUACCAUACCCAGUACAAAGGCACUUAAAUAUUUUGUCUUGCCCACUCACCCUCUGAAUGGCACACAUACACAAUCCAUGUCUCAAUUGUCUCAAGGCUUAAAAAUCCUUCUUUAACCCUGUCUCCUCCCCUUCAUUUUUAACCCUGUCUCCUCCCCUUCAUAUUUAACCCUGUCUCCUCCCCUUCAUUUUUAACCCUGUCUCCUCCCCUUCAUCUUUAACCUGACUCCUCCCCUUCAUAUUUAACCUGUCUCCUCCCCUUCAUCUUUAACCUGUCUCCUCCCCUUCAUCUUUAACCUGUCUCCUCCCCUUCAUCUUUAACCCUGUCUCCUCCCCUUCAUCUUUAACCUGUCUCCUCCCCUUCAUAUUUAACCAGGUCUCCUCCCCUUCAUCUUUAACCAGGUCUCCUCCCCUUCAUCUUUAACCUGUCUCCUCCCCUUCAUCUUUAACCUGUCUCCUCCCCUUCAUUUUUAACCUGUCUCCUCCCCUUCAUCUUUAACCUGUCUCCUCCCCUUCAUAUUUAACCUGUCUCCUCCCCUUCAUUUUUAACCUGUCUCCUCC
ensembl:lncRNA